GCUGGGUACAGUAGCGCACACCUGUUGUCCCAGUACUUGGGAGGCUGAAGGAGGAGGAUCACUUGAACCCAGAAGUUCAGGGCCAGCCUGGGCAACAAAGUCGGACUCAAUCUCUU
rnacentral:sRNA from 1 species